rnacentral:lncRNA from 1 species
CCACAGCAACACAGGAUCCAGGCUGCAUCUGUGACCUACACCACAGCUCAUAGCCAUGUGGGAUCCUUGACCGGUUGAGCAAAGCCAGGGAUCAAACCCACGUCCUCAUGGAGACGAGGCAGGUUUGUUUCCACUGAGCCACAGUGGGAACUCCCUAUUUUCUCAUUCUUUCCACUGUUCUUCAAGACCUUAAAGGUCCUCCCCCCAGUCUGGAUCUGUCAGCAGUCACGGGUUUGUGGCGAGAACGGCACAGGGGGAAACGCCCUUCUCGUGAAUGCUGUCAGGGGUUCACAACACCCAUCUACAAAGCAUCACUGGGACGUCAGCCUUCGUCGAUUGGUGAAGACGGUUUUCCAGCAUUGUUCCCUGGGAAGAUCUCUUUUUCCCUUUCGUUCUCUGUUCUAAGGGAGGGAGUCACCAAGUCCAGCCCACCCUGGGGGAGGGCAGAAUUGAGCUCCACCUCCUAGAGGGUGGGGCAUAUCUGUAUAAGUUCGUUCUUUUUUUGGUCUUUUUGCCAUUUUCUUGGGCCACUCCCAUGGCACAUGGAGGUUCCCAGGCUAGGGGUCCAAUCAGAGCUGUAGUCGCUGGCCUACGCCACAGCCACAGCAACACGGGAUCCAAGCCGCGUCUGCAACCUACACCACAUCUCAUGGCAAUGCCGGAUCCUUAACCCACGAGUGAGGCCAGGGAUUGAACCCGCAACCUCAUGGCUCCCAGUUGGAUUCGUUAACCACUGAGCCAUGACAGGAACUCCUGUAUGAGUUAUUUCUAAUUCUUCUUUAAGGAAGACUUAAGACUUCUUGUGGUCUCUUUCUUGUCUCUGCUGUUAGUAUUUAAGGCUUCUGGGUUAAUGUCUUGCAAAGUAUCAUAUUCUCAUGCCUUUUCCCAUCAUUGUCCACCAGCUUUCAUUCCCUAAAAUGUUCAUAAUUUGCUUUAAGUCAUCUUCUACCCUCAUCAUCAAAGAAUUUUCCAGAAGGACGUCAGUGGCUUUAACUUUCUCACUGCUUGUUCUUUAACUAGUGUUAACUGCUGCUUCAGUAACACACUCUAUGUCUCACGAAGUCCUCUCCCACCUGUUGUAGAGAGGAAGAGUUCGGGGAAGGGAAUGUUUUGCCAUCAGAUAAAUCACUUUAUGGACAUCUUUUCCUUUCUUCUUAAAAAUAGAUCUUUCUAAAAACACAUCAUUAAAAAAAUCCAAGAGUAAGACACAGCAAAUUGGCUCAUAUUUUUUGUUGAGGUGCACUGAACCAGUAUUUGAGGAACUCAAUCUUGAACUUCAAGUUUGAAGAAAAUCUAAUGCUAUAAUACCUAGUUUAUUUGUUCUCAGAGAUCUAAACCCAACACACACUUCCUCUUUCCCUCACUCCCUCCACAUUUGGCUUCGUCCAGCAACCGUCUUAUUUACUGGGUCCCUAUUACGACUCUGGGCUGGAGGGCGGUCCUUGGAUUCACGGAUGAGUAAAACCCUGGUCUCCAGGGGCUUCUAGGUUGGUAGGGAAAGGAGACACAUCCACAGAUACAUUCAACACAACCCGGCCAGUGCUGAACAGAAUGUGUCCUAUGUACCACGGGAGCGUGAGAGGGUCCCCUGGUCCAGAGCGGGAGACUGACCCGGCUGGCUGGGGAGACUGCAGCAGCUGGCUGUGCUGGCAGUGAGUAGGAGCCAGCCUGAACUCUGGACCUCCCUGGGGUGCCUGAGAGGAGGCUGGGUUGCCUAGUUUCUUUUUCUUUGUCUUUUUAGGGCCGCACCCGUGGCAUAUGGAGGUUCCCAGGCUAGGAGUCGAAUCGGAGCUGCAGCUGCUGGCCUACACCAUAGCCACGGAAACGCCAGAUCCAAGCCGCGUCUGUGACCUACACCGCAGCUCAAGGCAGCGCCAGAUCCUUAACCCACUGAGCGAGGCCAGGGAUCAAACCCGCAUCCUCAUGGUUCCUAGUUGGGUUCGUUAACCACAGAGCCAUGGCAGGAACUCCAAGUUGCCUAGUUCUUAAUCAACUUCUAUGUGGCCUACUGCACAGCACAGGGAACGGUAUUCAGUGUCUUGUAACAACCUAUGAUGGAAAAGAAUCCCUGUAUCGAGUCGCUUCCCUAUUCAGCAGAAAUGAACAGAGUGUUGUAAAUCAACUACGCUUCACUUUUAAAAUGGCAUAGUUUCCCCCCCGUGAUCCUGGGUUAUCUCUGGACCUCCCCCAGGGCGUCUGUGUAACCACCACCACAUUUAAAUUUACCUUCACACCAGCCACCUACAUGUUUUCCAGCAGCACUUGCAUUUUUGGAAUCUGGUCGAACAACCACCACACACAACGCACAGUCACGGACACCAGUUCCUCGCCUCCUCGCCUCCUCACGGAUCAAAUCAGGCCAGCCUCCUACCUGAUCAGGAACAAUCAAUUCCCUCGGGUUUUGUUCUUCCCCAGCAAACUGGUUUUCCUGAACACAUGUCCAUCUCCAGGACUUUUCCUUGUUGUUGUUGACUUUAUUUUUUAAGAGUGAAAUAAAUCGAAUGACUUGCUGAACCACCUCUGGACUUCUUACCCCCGCAUUACAGCAAAUUAUCCCUCCUGGUGGAGAUAAUGUUUGGAAAUGAACGUUGAGGCACGUUACUGAUGGGAAGUUGGGGCACAAGAAGCAGGCUUGCUCCGCCACAACAGGGGCAUAUUUCAACAGGCUCCCGCUGCUGAAAUAACCUGCCGCUCCCCACCGCUCACGCAGCCACCUCGGCCACUUCGGCGGGUGUGCUGCCAGCACGGGGCUUUCUGUAAUUUCUUGACUGUGGGGACUGCUCCCUGGUCAUCAGGGUUAUGUGUUUCACUGAUUGAACACAGGACACUACCUGGAUUUCCUCUGAGAGAAAAAGCAGGACAAAGCAGAACCUGGACAAAUUCCCUCUUGUUCAUUGCGGUCUAGGGUUGGCCAGCUUUUUCGGUCCAGUACCCAAUAGUACAGGUCUUCCCGACUUUGUGUCUCUAUGGUCUCUGUUGUAAUUCCUCAGCUCUGUCAGUGGGUACCAGCCAUACCUAACAGGCAAACGAAUAAGCAAGGCUGGCUUUCAAUAAAUCUUUCUUUAUGGAUGCAAACUUGAAUUUCAUGUAAUUUUCAUGUGUCUUGCAAGAUGAUUCACCGUUGGAUUUUUUUCAGCCAUUAAAAAUGUAAAAGCCAUUCUUAGCUCACAGGUGUACAAAGCAGGGUGGGCUCGGGGUGGCCCCCGUCUCCGAAAGAGCAUCCUAGAGUCCUCAGGAGGGAAGGCGUCUUGGAGCACACUGAAAUAAAAUAGCCCCAUUUGACAGGUAAAGAAAGCAAGUCUUAGACAAGGUAAGCAGCUGACCAGAAGAGAGUUGGGUGACGAGUGGGGAGCAGAACACCGGUGUGUGGACUCUCUGAUCUGGACGUCUUUCUAUCAUCCACCGUUUAGGGAGCCGAUAGGAACCAAGCUGGAGUGGCAGCAUGACCUGCUGUGCUGAGUCUCUCAGGGACCCACAAGGAUGAAUGCGGCGUCGCAACCUCAUUUCUGAGCACGACAAGAAUCAGGUCUGGGCAGUACAGGCUGUGGGAGCCAGAGGCCCCCGACACAUUGUCCUUUAGCUGCAAAAGCUUUUGUCCCGUUGGUUCUCUCCAUUCCAUAGAGGAAGGGCAGAGGAAGAAAGGACGCUAACAGCAACACCGCUACCACUUACUAGACGCCUUUUCUAGGACAACGCGGCAGAUGAGUUAGAAGCAGAGGCUCCACAGCCGAAGUGCCUGGGUUCAAGUCCCUUCUCUACCGCGUGCUCUUUAUGGGACCUUGGCAAGGUCUCUAGCCUCCUUGUGUGUCCUGAGGUUGAACCAGAAGAUGCUUAAGAUAGUACUUGGAGCGUUGCUGGUGUUUACACUCCCUCAUCCUCAGAAUGACCCUUAGAGGCAAGAACAAAUCAUGUGACAUAUAAGGACACCAAGAUUUGGACAAGUGACUUGACCAAGGUCCCCCCACUGGAAUUUGAAGCCAGCUCUGCCCAUUCUCUGAACUGUGAGGCUAUUCUUUCUCUUCCUGAAGGAAAAACAGAGAGAAAAAUGAGCAGGGGCUGCCAUGGAUUAUUCCAAGUUCCCCGUUGUGGUUCAUCUCUUCAUGAUCACAGCUUCAACCACAAGAGUGCUAAGCCGACUUCCUGUUUUUUAAAAAUAUGUCGAGAGCUCACCUUGACUUUGUCCUGACAUUGAGAGUCCAGUUUUGGUGAGACCGGAAUGGGGCCAUGUGGAUUCUUUUUCAUCUGCUUUCCUUUAUCUUUGAUGGACUUUACAAUAGCAGCAAAAAUACUGUCGGUAUGGCCCCCUGACCAUAUGACUCUCAGUGUCUGUUGCCUUGUUUUCUGCAUGAACAGUGCAUCAAAGAGAGCAUCACAAGCCCUGUGUUUGCACCAAGAACUGAACAUAAAGCUUGGAGCUGCCUGUGUGCCAGUAGGUUCAGGGGGCUUCCCAAGGAGUUGUGCCUGGUCCCCAAGCCCUGCCUCAUUCUCUAGAAGGUGGGAGGUGUUGGGGAGGCAGGUCCUGUGGCCGGAUGUAAAAGGAGCUGAUGAGGGAAGGUGAGCCACAUCCAGGGGGAGAGGAAAAUGAUGAAAUAGACGGAACGGCUUGCCCUGGGAUGGCUGGCUUGUCUUGGCCAGGCUGGCCCAGGAGGGCUGUGUCAAAGGGCUGGGAGUGUCCCAGGAGGAACCUCAGGAAGGUCAGGUCUCCCUCCUGAUCCCUGAAGCAAAUGCAUUCCCAUACUGGGAGGAUUCUUCCAGGAAAGGUCAAUAUCACACGGUAAUGAGAGAACCCACGUGCCUCUGGGUGGGUGGGACCACUUGUAGCUAACGUGUGAAUGUAAACUGGUACAGCCACUGUGGAGAACAGUUUGGAGAUCCCUUAGAAAUCUAUACAUAGAACUUCCAUAUGACCCUGCAAUCCCACUCUUGGGCAUCUACCUGGACAAAACUCUACUUAAAAGAGACACAUGCACCCGCAUGUUCAUAGCAGCUCUAUUCACAAUAGCCAAGACAUGGAAACAACCCAAAUGUCCAUCGACAGAGGAGUGGAUUCGGAAGAUGUGGUAUAUAUACACAAUGGAAUACUACUCAGCCAUAAAAAAGGAUGACAUAAUGCAAUUUGCAGCAACAUGGAUGGAACUAGAGACUCUCGUACUGAGUGAAAUGAGUCAGAAAGACAAAGAUAAAUACCAUAUGAUAUCACUUAUAACUGGAAUCUAAUAUCCAGCAAAAAUGAACAUAUCCUCAGAAAAGAAAAUCAUGGACUUGGAGAAGAGACUUGUGGCUGCCUGAUGGGAGGGGGAGGGAGUGGGAGGGACUGGGAGCUUAGGCUUAUCAGACACAACUUAGAAUAGAUUUCCAAGGAGAUCCUGCUGAAUAGCAUUGAGAACUUUGUCUAGAUACUCAUGUUGCAACAGAACAAAGGGUAGGGGAGAAAAAUGCAAUUGUAAUGUAUACAUGUAUGGAUAACUUGAUCCCAUUGCUGUACAGUGGGAAAAAAAAAAAAAUUUUUGGAGUUCCCGUUGGGGCUCAGGGGUUAACAAAUCCAACUAGGAACCAAGAGGAAGCGGGUUCGAUCCCUGGCAUUGCUGUGGCUCUGGAGUAGGCC